GAUGAACGCUGGCGGCGUGCCUAAUACAUGCAAGUCGAGCGAACGGAUGAGAAGCUUGCUUCUCUGAUGUUAGCGGCGGACGGGUGAGUAACACGUGGAUAACCUACCUAUAAGACUGGGAUAACUUCGGGAAACCGGAGCUAAUACCGGAUAAUAUUUUGAACCGCAUGGUUCAAUAGUGAAAGACGGUCUUGCUGUCACUUAUAGAUGGAUCCGCGCCGCAUUAGCUAGUUGGUAAGGUAACGGCUUACCAAGGCAACGAUGCGUAGCCGACCUGAGAGGGUGAUCGGCCACACUGGAACUGAGACACGGUCCAGACUCCUACGGGAGGCAGCAGUAGGGAAUCUUCCGCAAUGGGCGAAAGCCUGACGGAGCAACGCCGCGUGAGUGAUGAAGGUCUUCGGAUCGUAAAACUCUGUUAUUAGGGAAGAACAUAUGUGUAAGUAACUGUGCACAUCUUGACGGUACCUAAUCAGAAAGCCACGGCUAACUACGUG
rnacentral:rRNA from 1 species